CUUCCUUGGCCACAAAGGACACGGUGACCACGGAGCGAUGGCCAUCUCUGCACGUGUACUGGGAUGGUAGGAUGCUUGACGAACUACCGGGCAUCACACUCUCUGCGGAGGACCGCCACCAGGCGGCCGUUGCCAGCGGGAGCUACAGCUCUUUCGAUCAACAGGGUAUGACGGAGUUUCAGGGUACGGAGCUUCGCGUCGGAACCUCGCCGGUCU
rnacentral:rRNA from 1 species